GGCAGUGUGGCCGAGUGGUUUAAGACGCUGGAUUUGUAAUCUGGAGAUCCCUGGUUUAAAUAAUCUAUCCUGCCACUAGCUG